GCCGUCUGCAGUCUCCCGGGUGGGGCACCUGUCCAGGCCUGCAGCACCUCGCUCCACUCCAGUCAACUUGACAUAAGCUGGAGUCGUCUGGGAAGAGGAACUUCAGCUGAGAACACGUAUGCAUCAGAUUGCCCGUCAGCAAGUCUGUGAAGCGCUUUCUUGAUGAAUGACUGAUGUUGGGGGCACAUCCCACAGUGGGCAGUGUCACCCCAGGACAAAUGGUCCUGAGCUGUUUAAGAAGGAGCGUGGAUAACUCCUGUGCAGCUGUGUACUGAAAGCCUGCUCUUAGCAUGGAAGAUGACUCAUAAAAGCUGCAUCACGGAAGAACUGCAGUGCACCUCCUGCCUCCCACGCAGUCAUGCACCAUGUGCAUCCGGGUUGAGGCUACUGGCAGCUGAGGUGCAGGAAGAAGUGGUGGUUGGAGUCCCAGCUAAGGGUCUGGGGACCCUUGAGGCAGGCAAGCCAGGGAACCUUAGUAAGCUGGAGCUCUGCUUGGACUGGGCUAUGCUCACUUUCCUCUGUAAUGCACGGGAAGCCUGGGACCCACACCAGCAUCUAGUGUAGACACACCUCCUCACUCUGAAUAAUGGAAGAAGUUUCUCUUCCCCUUAUCAGCCAGAAAACUUGGAUUCUAUUUAAUCAUGCCCCUUUUACCUACUAAUACCAGGGAGGAGAGUAGAAAGGUCAAUUCAGCCUGAACUGGUUUUUGGUACAUGCACAGAAAAAUCAAAGUAUAUCCUUAAAAUGAACAUUUAGGGAAAAUACCCUAUAUAUCAUAUCAUGCUUAAGACUGUGUGUGCAUAUGAUAAAAACUAGAUGUGUUAAGGGAGGGGACACGAACAGAAGGGGGAAUGA